GUUGAACCCUAAUCACCUCAAUGACAUGGAUUGUUCUAAGGGUUUGAUCAUGCUUUGCCAUUACUACCCACCAUGUCCAGAGCCUGACCUAACUUUAGGCACAAGUCAGCACGCCGACAAUACUUUUCUUACCGUUCUUCUUCCAGAUCAGAUCGAAGGGCUUCAGGUUCUUCGUGAAGGGUACUGGUUCAACGUUCCUCAUGUUCCAGGAGCUCUAAUCAUCAACAUCGGAGAUCUUCUACAGGCAAGUUUGCACAACCAAUACAUUUUUUUGCUCUGUUUUGCAGAAGUAUAAAUCUUCCUCUUGGUUCAAACAUUUUUUUGUUUGUUUGUAUUAAUGCAGCUUAUAACAAACGACAAGUUCGUCAGUUUGGAGCACAGAGUAUUGGCGAACAGAGCAACAAGAGCUCGAGUCUCUGUAGCAGGUUUCUUCACCACCGCCAUGAGACCAAACCCUACAAUGUACGGACCCAUUAGAGAGCUCGUGUCUAAAGAAAACCCUCCAAAGUACAGAGAGACCACUAUUCGAGACUACACUGCUUACUUCAGUGCCAAAGGACUUGACGGAACCUCUGCGUUGCUCCAUUUCAAAAUAUGAAACAUGGCGAGCUAGCUACUACUUUAUCACACACAUACUGUAUAUGUAACAUGUUGGAGAUGUGUGAACCACAUGCAUGUGGAAUUUAUGAUUAAUUAAGAAUCGUUAUUUCGGUUUAGUCCACAUAAGGUGUGGUCUGUAUCAUUUUGUCUAUAAAAGAUCCUGAGACUAUUUUUUUCCUUUUUUUGUUUUUCUUUAUCUUUCUGUAAUAACUUAACUUCUUGUUGACUUAGACUUGCCUGGUCCGGUUACCGUCAUACGUGGUUGUUUUUGUCAAUAAACCUUAUCUCUUAUCAAUGGACAAUGGUUUUGCUGUAGCAACUGGUCCAAUCUUUGAACUUAAGAAAAACGUUUCAUUCUUGUUUUAUGUGUGAUUGUUGUUCUGUUUUUGAUUUGAGAAACAAAAACGAUGGAGAUGAUGAAGAUUGAUCCUUUAUUCGAUCGUGCCAGUGAGCUUAAAGCUUUCGAUGAAACGAAAACGGGUGUGAAAGGACUCGUCGACUCCGGAGUUUCACAAGUUCCACGCAUCUUUCAUCAUCCAACUGUCAAAUUAUCAACCCCAAAACCACUUCCCUCGGACCUGCUACAUCUCAAGACGAUCCCAACGAUCGAUCUCGGAGGACGGGACUUCCAGGACGCGAUUAAGCGCAAUAACGCGAUUGAAGAGAUUAAAGAAGCAGCAGCGAAGUGGGGUUUCUUCCAGGUGAUCAACCAUGGAGUUUCGCUUGAACUUCUUGAGAAGAUGAAAAAAGGAGUUCGUGACUUCCACGAGCAAUCACAAGAAGUGAGGAAAGAAUUCUACAGUCGCGAUUUCAGCAGAAGGUUUCUGUAUUUAAGUAAUUUCGAUCUCUUUAGUUCUCCAGCAGCAAAUUGGAGAGACACUUUCUCUUGUACCAUGGCUCCAGAUACUCCAAAACCACAGGAUCUUCCGGAGAUUUGUAGGUAUGACUCUAUUGCUCUAAUUUGAUUUCAUGUGUAGUCUUUGUUCAUAUGGUAAUUUGAAUCACUGAGUUGUUUCAGGGAUAUUAUGAUGGAAUAUUCAAAGCAAGUGAUGAAUUUGGGUAAAUUUCUCUUCGAGCUUUUAUCAGAAGCUCUAGGGUUGGAACCUAAUCACCUCAAUGACAUGGAUUGCUCUAAGGGUUUGCUCAUGCUCUCCCACUACUACCCACCGUGUCCAGAGCCUGACCUAACUUUAGGCACAAGUCAGCACUCCGACAACUCUUUUCUCACUGUCCUUCUUCCCGAUCAGAUCGAAGGGCUUCAGGUUCGUCGUGAAGGGCACUGG
rnacentral:lncRNA from 1 species